CAGCUGGUGUGCUUAUAGCUGGUGCUGAUGUGGGCAGCGUCUCAGCUGGGCAGCUGCAGUUUAUGGUAAUGGCACAGCAGGAACUGCAGGAGGCUAAGGAAGUGUUGGAGGAACUUGACAUCUCUUGAGCAAGCUCUUACUCUUUACAAGAGUCAUUCCAGCACUAUUUUGCAGUACUUCUAAGGAGUGGCAACUUAAGAAAUCCUUGGUAUGCUUCUUCAGUAAAGAGAAGAAACACAGGAGACAAUGUUCUCCCACAGCACUUCUUUAAGGAGCACGUCAAAGUUUAAAUCACGGGGCUUCAUCCCCUUGAGGACCCUUGCAAUUGUCUCUCACAGCACGAAUGGCUACCUAGAGAAAUCAGAUGUCAUUUAUGAGAGAAUAAUCUCCGAUUCACAUCAUUGCUGUAGAAGUUCUUUUGUUUCUGAAUGUAAGGGGAGAUGAUCUGGUAAAGCAAGUUAGACAAAUGAUUUGGUCUCCAUAGCUCCAUUUACCUCCCAUUCAGAAAAGCCAGGUAUCCCUCCUGAA